GCAGUGGUGUUUAGUGGUAGAAUUCUUGCCUUCCAUGCGGAAGAUGUGGGUUCGAUUCCUGGCCAAUGCA
rnacentral:tRNA from 1 species